AUCUCUCUCCUCUGGUCAGUUCGGAGCCGGCACUUUCUUCAAGCAUCAAGGCGACUCAGCGACAAGACCAGGUCUUGAAUAAGGUGCCUCGUUUUCACCGUUCUACCCUGCUUCCUUUAUGAGGACACUUUCUGCAGAGGCAUCGGCGAGACUCGUUCUUUCUCUUUCCGGAAUCCUGGGGAUCCAGGUUCCCAUUUGGGAACUAAAAAAAGGAGUGUGCAUAACAAAAAUCAAAUGGAAACAACCGGCGGUCUCUUGAGAAAUAGGAAGCUCCUCUCCCCAUUUCAGAGAUGCAGAAACGGAGGACCAGGGAGAGGUGAAGAAGGAGUCACGAAGGCAGAUUGGAAACCAGUCCAUCCAACCAACAUACCGAAGGCCUCUACAGUGGUCAGGCCCCCGGGCUCGUGGACCCCGGCCCGACGUUUGAGUGGGAAGACAGAAGGUUUCAUGUGUGAGCUAUUAUUCACGGGUACCCAGCAGAGCUCAUUCUAGAGGAUGGGAAUCAUAAUGGCGCUACCUGAGAUGGAGGGGCAUUAAGAGCCCUGGCCCCCGACUCUCCACCCCCAUGGCUUUUUUCAGUAAA